AUGCAGUACUACACACUGUGCACCGACCCUAGAUGCUUAUGCGGCUCAGAUUGCGAGGGGGAUGUGGAGAUGUCGCUGCCACACCUGAGAGAAGCCAAGGUCUCUGCCGUGCGCCCGGUGGACGAUCACAUGAACCUGGUGCGGCUGCUGGUGACGAGCGCGCCAAUGCUAGAGAGGAUGACCGUAGAGUUUGAGUCGUGGUCGCCGUCUUGGAAGAAGGAUAGAGGCUAUACGGUUGUUGUCAAGGAUGACCUCCCAGCCUGCAAUGGAGCACGCUGGACUCCCGGUGGCGACGAUGGGCUGUGCUAUGAGUGGACCCCGGAGAAGCCGGAUGGUGAAGCAAUUGAAGAAGAGGCUUUGGAAGCUCGCUUAAGCAAAUUUGACAUAUAA
rnacentral:rRNA from 1 species